GGAACCUGCAAGUUAAUUCUUCUUUUUUUGUGAAUCUAUGGCCUUGAUUAAUGCUUGCUUUUAAUCUUCAAUUCCUGCGAAAAUCGUUUGGCAGAGUGGUUUGGAUUGAAAUUGCGAGCUUGCUAGGUUUAAUCUGGUAAUCGAACGAUUUUUCAGAGUAAUGGAGCAGGAAAGCAAGAACCUCCUCUGAUGGAGGUUUUCAAUUUGUUUUGUAAUAGGGGAUGAUCAAGACUCAUGUUGGAGGGAACUGCUUCCGGGAUCCAUCGAUAAUUGAUCUGAAUUACUUCGACGGUUCUCCGUGCAUGAGAUUGAGCUGUUUUUAUUAAAUACAGCCUUUUUCUGAAUCUAAGAGUCACGGUUUUCUUUUGAGUGAAGCCGCCCCUCGAAUACAGUGGGCAAAUGUUGGGAGACAGAAGAAUUAGUCGCAGAAUUGCCAGUUCUGCUAUAGGACGAUCGAGACUAAUGCUGCAAGGAACCUAUCCGGGAUCCUUGCUGAAUUACUUGGAUGCAUCUUUGCUCAUGAGAUUGAUCUGUUAAUAUUUAGUACAGCCUUUUCUGAAUCCGAGAGUCAUGAUUUUUUCUUUUUAAUCUGAGGAUCAGACUCUCCUUAAAUGUUCCUUGUUAGUUCUAUAGUUCUUCCA